rnacentral:misc_RNA from 1 species
GAUGAAGAACGUAGCGAAAUGCGAUAAGUAAUGUGAAUUGCAGAAUUCAGCGAAUCAUCGAAUCUUUGAACGCACAUUGCGCCCGCUAGUAUUCUGGCGGGCAUGCCUGUUCGAGCGUCAUUUCAACCAUCAAGCCCUGUUUAGGCUUGUGUUGGGGCCCUGCGGUUGCCGCAGCCCCCUAAAUGCAGUGGCGGGCUCGUUGUCACUCCGAGCGCAGUAGCGUAUCUCGCUCUGGGCGUGGCGGCGGGUGCUAGCCGUGAAACACCCACUAAGGUUGACCUCGGAUCAGGUAGGAAUACCCGCUGAACUUAAGCAUAUCAAUAAGCGGAGGA